GGUUCUAUGGCGCAAUUGGUUAGCGCGUCCGGCUGUUAAGGGCGUAUGGCCACUAGCAUACCGGGAGGUUGAAAGUUCGAGUCUUUCUAGUACCG